GAUGAAGAACGUAGCGAAAUGCGAUAAGUAAUGCGAAUUGCAGAAUUCCAGUGAGUCAUCGAAUCUUUGAACGCACAUUGCGCCCGCCAGUAUUCUGGCGGGCAUGCCUGUUCGAGCGUCAUUACAACCCUCAGGCCCCCGGGCCUGGCGUUGGGGAUCGGCGGAGCCCCCCGUGGGCACACGCCGUCCCCCAAAUACAGUGGCGGUCCCGCCGCAGCUUCCAUCGCGUAGUAGCUAACACCUCGCGACUGGAGAGCGGCGCGGCCACGCCGUAAAACACCCAACUCUUCUGAAGUUGACCUCGAAUCAGGUAGGAAUACCCGCUGAACUUAAGCAUAUCAAUAAGCGGAGGA
rnacentral:misc_RNA from 1 species